rnacentral:rRNA from 1 species
CGCGUAGGUGGUUUGUUAAGUUGGAUGUGAAAGCCCCGGGCUCAACCUGGGAACUGCAUCUGAUACUGGCAAGCUUGAGUCUCGUAGAGGGGGUAGAAUUCCAGGUGUAGCGGUGAAAUGCGUAGAGAUCUGGAGGAAUACCGGUGGCGAAGGCGGCCCCCUGGACGAAGACUGACGCUCAGGUGCGAAAGCGUGGGGAGCAAACA